rnacentral:rRNA from 1 species
GCUGUCGUCAGCUCGUGCCGUGAGGUGUUGGCUUAAGUCCCGCAACGAGCGCAACCCUUGUCCUAUGUUGCCAGCGGGUUAUGCCGGGGACUCGUAGGAGACUGCCGGGGUCAACUCGGAGGAAGGUGGGGAUGACGUCAAGUCAUCAUGCCCCUUAUGUCCAAGGCUUCACACAUGCUACAAUGGCCGGUACAAAG